ACAAAAUUUAAGUUCCAACCAUUUUGCACUAUAUAUAGAUAUCUCUUGCAUUUCCUGCACAACAUUGGAGUGGGAUACAUAAUCACAACAUCAAAUGUAAUAAUUGACCAGGCCUCUCAUACCAGACUAAUUUCCAACAGACAAAUGCUCAAGCAAACCAGAUAAUCAAGAGCAAGGAUUAGAAAUGUAUUAUCAAAGUUUUGAUCUUUCAGUUCGUAUGGUACAAUGACUGGAAUAUGGCCCCACCCUAUGACAUGAGAGGAUCAAAUCUCUCUUUAAAUAUAAAUUUUGACACAUUGCCAUGUAAACAUCAUACCAGUAUAUAAAUCCAUAUGCUCGUGUGAAGCAUUUGGUUGAAGAGACAUUAAAGACUAGACCCCAAAUAAAUAAGGUCAAAUAACAGAAUCAAAGAUAAAUUAGUGAAUGAAAAUUUCCAGCUUAAGCUGUAUCAGAAAGGGGGUUCUCUAUCUUGUUAUGGAGGGUGACCACCAAAUCAUGUGCAUCAUCUAGGAGCUUCCANNNNNNNNNNNNNNNNNNNNNNNNNNNNNNNNNNNNNNNNNNNNNNNNNNNNNNNNNNNNNNNNNNNNNNNNNNNNNNNNNNNNNNNNNNNNNNNNNNNNCAUGUAGUUAGAAGAACGGUUUCUUGUUUUAGUUGUAUUGUAUUUGUGCACGCGGAAUUCGGACAUUAGUUCGUAAUGUGGUCUGUAGUCUCUUCUAUAAUUCUUGGAUGACUUCUGGCAACAGUGUAUCAUCAAUUACCGAGUUGUGUUAUUUUGUUUGAUGACAAUCAAGAGUCCUAUUGUUACAUUUCUAUUUUACCUAGUGGAGGGUCCUAUUGGCCCUCCUUCAAGAGUUACUUUAUAACAUCUCUCUUCUCUUAUGCUACGUUUUUAAUUUGGAAUGCUUAGGUAUGGAACAUACCAUCUCAUCCUGUGCCAAAAGCAGUAAAAAUUCAUGCACUCGUGUUUUUAUUAAAGCCUUGUUGGUAUUUUAUGUUUGCAAGGAUAUUACUGCUUUCAAGGGAUUGUAAUUUAUACAUAGUAUGUUUGUUUUGAAGGGGAAAUAUGAAAAUUUUGGUCUAAACUUGUAAAUCUUGAAGUGGUCAUUUAAAGUCAAAUGAUGCUAUGAGAGAUUAAAAUAAAAUUCACUAAAAGAUUAAAAUCUCAGAAAGACUAUGAAGCUAACUUUUUUUUCUUCAUGAAGCUAGGCUGGAGACUGGGAAUCUCCUCGGUUCAUUAUGGCUCUGUCCCUAAAACAAAAUUAUUUCAAGCAUUCGUCCAUUUGGCAAUCUAAGGCUACAAAAACCCAUAGUAGAAGUUGGUACUUUUUGAUCGUAGCUAAAAAUGAAAUCCUAAGCAUCUUCAAUGACUGGUAGGCAAUGGGGAUUCCAUCUCCUUUUGGUAUGACAAAUGGUGUGGAAGCCAAACUCUCAUAAGCUUGUUUAAGGUCGGUCCUCUUAGACGCAAUAUUGAGCAGGCUAGACUUCCUUUAAGCUGAAUCAAAUGUAUGGAAUCUUGAUAUGCUUCACUGUUUUUGUCAAGGUUAAUACUUAUGGGAAUGUGAGGGAGGAUGUCUCGGCAGAUGCAACAUCUGUUAUUAGAGGUUCAAAUACUUCACAAAGCUGUUUGGAGUUUGUGUUCUAAUGGCAGAACUAUGGACUAUCAUUGAUGGUCUAUCUCUUUGCUGGGGAAUUGGGGUUCAAGUGAUUAUUGAAUCGGAUGCUUUAAUAACCCAUAUUUUUAUAUAUUUGUUAAUAAUUAAAUAUUAAUUUAUUUUAUUUUAUAAAAGUGUAAUUGAAUUAGAAAAUAUAAGUUACUAAUUUUUUUUAUCUUUUCUUCCUUGUUUCGUUUGAAAAGUUAAAUUCUUUUAAUAGAUAAAUAAAUAAUUGAUUUAAUUAAAAUUGAAGAGUCCAUUAAAGUUUUGGUAACUUCUUUUGUUUAUUCUAAUUUGAUUAGUUGAUUUCCCGAGUAGGAUUUUUAUACGCACUGCAACCUAUUAGAAAAAUCAUAAUUAAUUCAUCCCAUAUCAGAAUGGAGUAAAUUCAAAGCCAAUUUCUUUCGUUUUUCGUCCUCUACAAUUGUGAGGAAUGAAAAAAAGAAUUAUUUGUUGCAUCUUCAUGCCUUAAAUUGCUAAAAACUGCAACCUGUCCCAAUUCCCGCAACUAUUUUCAGCCUUAAUUUUGAAAAUUCAGAACUCGGUCAUAUUAAUUCCGAAUCGAGUGAUUCUUGAGUCUAUUUUGUGUAUCUUUUCUAGAGUUACAAUUUUCAUGAAGAUAUGAAGUGAUCUUGAAAACUCUAGAAGAGCCGAAAAUCAGAUUCUUUACUGCUGUGUAUUGAAGAAAGGCAAACAAAGAAGGUAAAUAUUAUUUUAUAUUUUAAUUUUAUGUUUAGUUAUGAUUUUAAAUUAGAGACUAUUUUUUAAUCAAAAUAUAGACAUGAAAUUAGUAGUCAUGAUAAUGGGAAAGAGAGAAUAAAUUUAUAUAAAGGAAUAUAAGUUGAUUAAAUGUAAAAGUUAAAAUCUGAAAAUCAAUUUCGAUAUUUGAAGGUAUAUUGCGUGUCUUAAUCCAACUGUUGGAACAUUAUAAUUUUUGGAUAUGUUAUACAUAUUUAACCCGAAAAUAUGUUCACCAAAUUUGAAACGUUAAAGAUUAACGUAUGAUUUGUUAUGAAUUUUAAGAAAGGGCUAAUUUGGAAUUUUUAUAGCAAAAUUUUCAGCAACAAGUUCUAAUAUUUAAAAAUGUAUAAUUAAUGAUUUUAAAUUUGAUUUUGAGUGAUUCUUUAGGCUAAAUUGAAGUAUUUGAAGUCUAGUUUCUUUUAAAAUUACAUUAUUUGAUAAAUAAGUUUUAACUAAUGGUGAUAAGACCAUAAUUGCGGAUUGACAUAUUAAGAAUAAUGUGUCAUAUUAGGGUUUUAAGAUUUUUUAAGUUUUGUUAUUAAUUUUUAAGUUUUGGGGUAUUAAUAAUGAUCUAAGGCGAUAAUUAAAGGCAUCUUAAAUGGAUUACGAAUUAUUUUAAAAUUAUUAGUUUGGAUUAUAUUUAAUUCGAGGUGAAUACAGGUGGUGAAUAACAUUUCGUAUUUGAUAUCGUUGACAUUUGAGGGUAAGAUUUUGUUGAGUGUGUUAUAAGUGAUUUUGCGUAUCAGGUACAGAUUUCGUACCCCUUCAUCAAUACUCUUGUGAAAUUUAAUUAGUUCGUUUAGAUUGUAAGGAAUAGUCCCACAUCGGUUGCAAACCCAACUUGAUGUGGGUUGAUAUAGACCUUAACCUCUCCCCUUGGGUAACUAACUUUUCAAGGUGUGUUGAAGUGGCUAACGUUUGUAUCAUUUUUGUUCUGGAUUGACCUAGUAUUUGACUUGAUUUAGUUUGAUUGACGGAUUAGUGAUGUAUAUAACACAACCAUUUGAUUCAACCUAUUAUUUCGUUGUGUUAAUUUUGUUUGUUUCAGUUUAGUUGAUUUAAUCGAGUUAGUUAUUUCGUUCCAUUAUUCUUGUAUUCUAUAUACACACUGGAUAUUUGACUCGUGCUGUGUUUUCUUCUUGUAAGUUUGCAAGAGCGGUUUAGGGUUUCGUGUGAAGAGCCUUUGACCGAAUAGGUUUAUUUGAUUUUAAGUUAUUUUGAACUAUUGUAUUUAGUUGUUUUGCAAGUGAUCCCGAAUACUAUUUGGGAAGGGGGUGUUACAUAUGUUGAGGAAGUUUUUAAGUAAUUUGUUUUGCCAAAUUAAUAUUCAUUUGUUGGAUGCUUGCUAAAUAUGCUUGCCACCAGGAGGAUAGGACCUAACACCUUUUUUCCCCUCUUGUUUUUUUUGUUCAAAAUUUGAAGGGAGAAUCACCCCUAGAUGUGUGGUUAUAAACUUGUGAACUUGUUGAUUUGUUUGUGAAGUGUUUUUAAUAUAAGUUGCACUCGUUUGUGCUAUUAAAAAAAAAAACAGAGUAUUGUUCUAAAAAGAAAGAAGUAAACAUAGGAAAUACCUUACCUAUCCAAUAUCUGUCGCAUUGUGUUUGAGAAGCGCAGAGUGAACACACUAGUUUCUUUUAAUGAUAACAUAACCAACUCAAGUUUAUCAUUAUAAUUUCAGUAUCAUUCCAUAAAUAUUAUACUCUCUCAAUAAUUGAAGGUAAACACCAAAUUAAAAUAUGUGCUUAAAGCUUCUAAAUUUUACGAAUGAAGCUCAUUUGUAGAAAACCAGACAAAACAACAAUAUUAUUAUUAGCCGUAUAAAUUAAGAAAUUGCAAAAUAGGUAAGCUGAAUUAAUACCACAAAAUUUAAGUUCCAACCUUCUUGCACUAUAUAUAGAUAUCUCUUGCAUUUCCUGCACAUCAUCGGAGUGGGAUACAUAAUCACAACAUCAAAUUUAAUAAUUGACCAGGCCUCUAAUACCUGCCUAAUUUCCAACAGACUUCAUCAUUUGGAACCAAAUGCUCAAGCAAACCAGAUAAUCAAGAGCAAGGAUUAGAAAUGUAUUAUCAAAGUCUUGAUCUUUCAGUUCGUAUGGUACAAUGACUGGAAUAUGGCCCCUCCCUAUGACAUGAGAGGAUCAAAUCUAUCUUUAAAUAUAAAUUUUGACACAUUGUCGCUUCCCUCAGAUCGCGCCUCCCUCCAAGUGAGGAAGCAGCAAUGUAAACAUCAUACCAGUAUAUAAAUCCAUAUGCUCGUCUGAAGCAUUGGUUGAAGAGACAUUAAAGACUAGACCCCAAAUAAGGUCAAAUAACAUAAUCAAAGAUAAAUUAGUGAAAGAAAAUUUCCAGCUUAAGCUGUAUCAGAAAGGGGGUUCUCUAUCUUGUUAUGGAGGGUGACCACCAAAUCAUGUGCAUCAUCUAGGAGCUUCCAUACAUCAAGAUGUCCUGCCAUGCUAUUGCAUUCCCUAACUAUCUCAUCCAUGCUACUGUACUUC
rnacentral:lncRNA from 1 species